rnacentral:tRNA from 1 species
GCCUCUGUGGUGGAGUGCUAGCACGUCCAUCUGGGAAAUGGGAUUUGUAGGUUCGUAUCCUACCGGCGCA